CCUACGGGUGGCUGCAGUGGGGAAUAUUGGACAAUGGGGGGAACCCUGAUCCAGCCAUGCCGCGUGUGUGAAGAAGGCCCUCGGGUUGUAAAGCACUUUCAGUGAGGAAGAACGCCUGGUGGUUAAUACCCAUCAGGAAAGACAUCACUCACAGAAGAAGCACCGGCUAACUCCGUGCCAGCAGCCGCGGUAAUACGGAGGGUGCGAGCGUUAAUCGGAAUUACUGGGCGUAAAGCGCGCGUAGGUGGCUUGAUAAGCCGGUUGUGAAAGCCCCGGGCUCAACCUGGGAACGGCAUCCGGAACUGUCAAGCUAGAGUGCAGGAGAGGAAGGUAGAAUUCCCGGUGUAGCGGUGAAAUGCGUAGAGAUCGGGAGGAAUAGCAGUGGCGAAGGCGGCCUUCUGGACUGACACUGACACUGAGGUGCGAAAGCGUGGGUAGCAAACAGGAUUAGAUACCCCUGUAGUC
rnacentral:rRNA from 1 species